UGUUCGCUUAGGCAGCACAAUAUGGUAAAAUGAGAACCAUACAGAGAGGUUUGGCAUGGUGCCUGUGCAAAGGCCACACACAAAUUGGUGAAGCAGUCCAUGUUUUU